ACUGCUCAGUAACACGUGGCUAAUCUGCCCUUAGGACGAGAACAACCCCGGGAAACUGGGGCUAACUCUUGAUAGGCGAAGAACUCUGGAAUGAGUCUUUACCUAAAUAGAUUCACGUUAUCCUCGUGAACCUGCCUAAGGAUGAGGCCGCGACCGAUCAGGUUGUUGGCGAGGUAGUGGCUCACCAAGCCUUUUACCGGUGCGGGCCGUGGGAGCGGGAGCCCGGAGAUGGGUACUGAGACAAGGACCCAGGCCCUACGGGGCGCAGCAGUCGCGAAACCUUUGCAAUAAGCGAAAGCUUGACAGGGCUAUCCCGAGUGCCAUCCGCUGAGGAAGGCUUUUACCCAGUCUAGAACGCUGGGGGAAUAAGGAGAGGGCAAGUCUGGUGUCAGCCGCCGCGGUAAUACCAGCUCUCCGAGUGGUGUGGAUGUUUAUUGGGCCUAAAGCAUCCGUAGCUGGCUAAGUUAGUCCCUUGUUAAAUCCACCGAAUUAAUCGUUGGAUCGCGGGGGAUACUGCUUGGCUAGGGGACGAGAGAGGCAGACGGUAUUUUCGGGGUAGGGGUGAAAUCCUAUAAUCCCGGGAAGACCACCAGUGGCGAAGACUGUCCGCUAGAACGCGCCCGACGGUGAGGGAUGAAAGCUGGGGGAGCGAACCGGAUUAGAUACCCGGGUAGUCCCAGCUGUAAACGAUGCAGACUAGGUGUUUGGACGGCCACGUGCCGUUCUAGUGCCGCAGGGAAGCUGUUAAGUCUGCCGCCUGGGGAGUACGAUCGCAAGAUUGAAACUUAAAGGAAUUGGCGGGGGAGCAC
rnacentral:rRNA from 1 species